GUGACACCGGAAGUAAGGAAAGCCACUCAAGAAGUAGUAGGAUGUGUCUUAGUAAGAAGUUAAGGAGGAGCUAAAUUUGUGAGUUAGGUUCAGACUUCACUUCAGCUCCAAGAGAAACUCAGUUAGGAUCUAAGCCUUAUACUGGGAGGCUAUGUCCAUUUCUCCCUCUGUUACUGUGUAGUGUUGUGUAAAGUGAAAUUGUAAACUUGUACUCUAAUUAUAAGUAAGAUUAAUUAAGUGGUGUUUAACUUGCCAAGAAUCUAUGGAAACGUAUCCAUGCAAAGUCCUCCUGAGAGACAUGGAAGAAUAGAAAUAAAUCUACAAUGUUCCUAAGAGAAUAGAAACUCAUCGCAAGUGAUAAUUGGAGGUUAGCCCAUAUAACAGAUAACCUUCCAAACAUUACCAAUAAGCUAUGAAGAAGAUUAUAAGAAAGAAGAGAGAAGAGAAUAAAGGAAACCCGUAAGUACUCAAACACAACAACGAAGAAAAGUAAAACAGAGACCAUAACAAAGUGGUGCUCAGCGAUUGUUGGAUUCUAAGUCCAAAACACCGAUAAAGAACACACACACACACACACAGUGAAAAAAUUAAACAGAGUGGAAGAUAUAAAGUACUGACCAACUGCUAGAAAAAGAGCGCUGAUACUUAAGCGCUAGAAACAUAAAGAAAACCAGGCACGAACUCUACAGUUAAAAAGAAGAAAUUUCCGAGUUCAAUAACUCAAAGAACCAAGAAAAUAAAAAGGCGACGAAGAACAACGAAACACAGCUCCGAGACGGCUAGACACAACAUAACUUCAAAACAGCUGAGAAGGUGAACGAAACUAGAGUGACGAAACGCAGUGAAUUUCUACGAAGAAUACUGAACUAGGAUCGCUGCAUUCCUAAGCCAUAAACUCGAUAAUGCGUUAAAGGUAAACGCAAGAAUGCAUAGGAGCGGACAGAAGAAGAUUGCAAAUUCAAUGCAGCGAAACUUCAUGGAAAGGCGAUUGACGGCGGAAUUCUCCAAUCAACCUACGAGCGCUAAACUAUUAUAAAUAUUGAGAUAGCGCUCAUUUCUCCAUACAUCGCUACGAUUUUCUCAAACAACGGACAAGGCAACAGUGGCAAGUGAAACAACGGCAGUCCCCAGACGCCGCCGCCACCAGUGUUAAACAACGGCAGCGCACGGACGACGACGCAGAAGUGUUCGGCAACCAGAGCCAGCAGCAAGAAGAAAAGUUUGAAGUAUCCCAAUAGAUUAACGUCUGCCAAUAAAUCAAAAUAGAAAAUCCUCACACACUGCAAUAAAAAUAAAAAUCCUUUUAUAAAAUAGUUCAAAACAAGCAGCUUGAGAUAAAAAAAAUUUUUGUUUGGCAUAAAAAUUGUAAGUUAAAAUAAUUUUCUUUCUCUCUUCAUUGCUGUGAUAAAUCUAAACCAUAAAGGUAUUGUCAUUCAGUUCAUAAAGUGCAGUUGUGUGAAUAAGGAAUAGCGGCACAUAUUAAUGUUAAUGUUUUUCCAGAUUGAAGGAAGGAAACACUAGGAAAUAAGAAAAUUAGAUAGGACAGAUAGGGACUGCAAUAAGGAAGACAGACUCCAAUUAUGAGGAUAAUGAAAUGGAUUUCACUAUGGCUCAUGGUGAGCGAUAUCUGCAUCUCCCUCUUGCAAAUCAAGCAGGGAGCAAUUUUAAAGGAUCAUGGCCAAGUGAGAAUGAUUCACGACAUAGCGGUUGUUACUAUAAACGUCAGCACAGUACAGUAGACCGUCAACAACAACAACUGGCAGAAUUACUGAGUAAAAUCAAAAAUGUCAUAACUACUAACCAGAAUAAUUCAGUAUUGUUGAAACUUAGAGAGGAUAUCAGCCAGGUUUUACCUAAGAGAAUUAAAAAGCGUUCACUUCUUCCAUUUAUAGGUACAGACUUAAACACUUUGUUUGGUGUAGCUACUGAUAGUGAUGUAGAUAAAGAUAGGGCUAGAAUAGAAAAAUUAGAAAUGUGGGCCGCAGAACGAGGUACCAUCAUGACUAAAGUCAUUGAUGCAACUAACAAGAACCAAGAAUUGAUUAUUAAACUGAAGGACUUUGUUAACAGUAUAGCUCAGAACAUUACAACACAGAUAAAUGAUCUAAACAGGUCACAAUUUGUGACUCAGUUAAUGUUUGUAACAGAGACAUUCUUGUUAAAUUAUAAGGAACUUUUGAAUGCAGUCAUGCUAGCCGCUAAAAACAUUUUAUCACCAUACCUCAUCAGUCCUAGUGAGUUACACCUUGUAGUUGAAAAAUGUAUGCUAGAUCAUCACUUCAAACCGUCUGUGUGCGAUGUUCUUACUUACUAUAGUUUAAUAACUGUGAAAAGAGUUUCUGAUCACAUUGUGUUGGUAAUACCAUUCAACAAUAAUGAAGUUAAUAACUUGAUAUCCAUUUACCCUUUUCCAAUGCUAGUAAAUAACAAGUCAAUUGUUUUGAACCAAGACAUAGUACAUUUUGCAUUGCAACAAAAUUCACUGCUGUUGGUACAGCUAAGUGACAAAGAUUUUGUUGAUUGUAUCAUGCUUGAAUCCAAUGAGUUUGUUUGUAAUAUACAGAGUUUUUAUGAGCCACUUAACAAAUUGUAUUGCAUAGAUGAUUUGAUUAAUGACAGAAAUGGUGAGAAUAACUGUGAGUAUAUCCUUUACAGCCCUGAUUUCAAAGCUCAAAUAUUGCAUGAUGAAAUGGUAGUGUUUUCACAGAAUCAAGUAACAGCUAAGGUCACUUGUAGGAAUAAACAAUCUCAGAUAAUGUUUAAUAACAUCAAAUCCUUUGUGACAUCUUGUGAAGUAGUUAUUUUGAAUUAUUUGUACUACAAGCCUACCAUUUUUGCUGCUUACACCUUAAACUUAUCUAGCCACAUAAAUCAUUUUGAACAUGUCAAAGAUUUCAAAUUGUCCAAACUUGAGUUAGAAUCAUUUGACAAACUUGAAGCAGCUAACCAUUUUUUCCAUGUAUACAAGACUGACAUUUCCUACAUUAUGUCCAUGAUAAAUAUUGUUUUGUUGGUUAUCACCAUACUGGCUUUCAUAUGUAUUGCCAGAGUGUUAGUUGUUAACAAGGUCAACACCAUUAAGACUUUACUGAAUAAUUUGCCUUCAAGUAACUAAUAUUCUAACAUUGUUGCAUAUAUUGCCUUUUUUGAUGACUUUCAACAUUGUAUUUUUUAUAUAUAAGUAUUUUCAUAAUUUUAGGCAUUGAGGUCACUGCCAGUAGGUGGCCGAGUGUUGUUAGGAAACAAUAGGAGUCUGUCUAUAAAUAUGUAGGGACAAUUAGAUAGGAAAAUCCACUGGUAGGAAUAUAUAUACAGUGAGAGUAGAGUAAUGAAAGGGUCUACCAAGAGAGGUAGAAAAGGGAGUAGAUGUGUGGCAGUAUCAGACUGCAGAAAUAGCGGUUUCGGAAACGCGACAAAACACGGGCACCCGUUUGCCAAAACAGUAAAAUGCAAACUCCAGUGGAAAAUCUGAACUUUGACACCUUCAGUGAGUGGUUACCGUAGAUUAACGGAACCAAAAAGACUGAUCUAGGGGUGGCACCGGAAGUAAGGAAAGCCACUCAAGAAGUAGUAGGAUGUGUCUUAGUAAGAAGUUAAGGAGGAGCUAAAUUUGUGAGUUAGGUUCAGACUUCACUUCAGCUCCCAGAGAAACUCAGUUAGGAUCUAAGCCUUAUACAGGGAGGGUAUGUCCAUUUCUCCCUCUGUUACUGUGUAGUGUUGUGUAAAGUGAAAUUUUAAACUUGUACUCUAAUUAUAAGUAAGAUUAAUUAA